UGGCGGUGUAGCUCAGAGGUAGAGCAGAGGACUCAUAAGCCUUUGGUCGUGGGUUCAAUUCCCGCCGCCGCCAU
rnacentral:tRNA from 1 species